UGGUGGAGUGAUUUGUCUGGUUAAUUCCGAUAACGAACGAGACCUUAACCUGCUAACUAGAUGAGUUUCCUACUGGAUUCUCACGCUUCUUAGAGGGACUGUGUGGUAAAACCUCAAGGAAGUUUAAGGCAAUAACA
rnacentral:rRNA from 1 species